CGAAGAUUACCUCAACCAUAUUAGUAUACCCCACAUAGGAUCUCCUCAUCUAAUAGCGUAUGGGAUCAACGGUCUAUCUCAAAUCUUUGAAAUAUGGGAGAGCUUUGGCUACAACCUUUAACUAAACUAAAGAGCAAAAGUGGAACUUAGGCUAGGUCUCAACACCUGGUAUGAUGAACUAAGUCUCAAUACUUAGGUUUGAGGCAUGACCCUCUUUUCUUUUCUCAAAUAUUAU
rnacentral:lncRNA from 1 species